CAUGUUGGGCUUUCUACCAAGGGCACCAAACCCAGUGGACUGCUCUCCCAGUGAGGCCACUUGGACUCUGGGUGGCUCUGGGCUGAAUCUGGCCCUCCUCAUUUUCUGUUCCUUAUUUCACCUGGAAAAAGGAUGGUGGUUUUGUAUCUCCUAAUGCUCCUUAGCAAGAGAGAAGGAGUGUUUCUGAAUGCAGUCUGUAGUUGUACAAGCAGAGAAGGGGGCAGGAGAACCUCUCCUUCAAGCUGGGACACCCUGGCCAUGAGCCCCAGACAGACUGAGGUGAUGCCUUCCCUGGGUUGUCAAAACUGGGAGCUCCUUCCCCCUACCACUUGCAGCCAGACUAUCCACAGUGCAGGGAGGCAGGCAGGGGGCUGAUCAGAAGCAGCACAUUGAGUCAAUAUCACAUUCAGCAUCUUUCCUGCCAGGUAAGACAAGGACCCUGGUUGUUAGUGCCCUUGUCGCUUCCUCCUCUUGCCUCCUUCCUGGCUGGGAGGGAGAGCCAACCUGAUCUGCUCAUAGUAUUGCAUUGAUGGUUAGGUUAGGGCCUCAUGGUUUGGCCCCCAAUAUCUUCUGCCAAGAACCAUGGGGGUGACCAGGCUGUGUAUACCCAAGCAAGCAACCAAGUGAUGCCCACUGUCCUACAGACUUCCCACCUGGUCAUCUGGGGUGAGUUGUACGUAAGGAGAGGGAGGGCCACUUUAGAAAUGGCCUUAGAAAUGUCUGCUUCUGGAGCUGUCCUCAGAGCUUCUUCCUGAAUAUCAUUUUACCAAGAGCCCCAGAGAUGAGGUUUCUUGGCCAAGGUCACCCCCAAAAUCAACUGUGAGCUCAUGUCUUGAAGUCCACUAUGUUUCUUCUGCCCCAUUCCCCAGGCUUCCCUAAAGAAGAUAUCCAGCAUUGGCUAGAAAUGUAGGUUUCCCUUCUGGUGCCUGUCUCCCGUGACCCUGCUCCUGACAUCAAAUCCCCCUCAACAUCAUCCCUUGUAAGUUCUAUGGGUUUGGAUUAGAGAGCGGGGAGAACUUCCUGAGUGGCCUCAUUGGGACAGGGAAUGGAGGCUUUCCCCAAGAUACAUAAGGGCAGACCUGCUUUCCAUGAGUGUGGGCUGGAUCAGGUCUUAGGAGCUUCAGGAGUUCGACAACACAAAGUCCAAAAUCAGGUUCUGCGGCCUCCUAGCCAUGGGACUUUGGGCAAGUUGCUGACUCGCUCUGAGCCUUAUCAUUAAAUUGGAAUGGAUAUGAUUUACUAUCUUAUUUAUAGAAGUUUAUAAAUAUAUAUUUACUUUUUGAAAACAGC
rnacentral:lncRNA from 1 species